rnacentral:tRNA from 1 species
GGCUUCAUAGCUCAGUUGGUUAGAGCGUCGCACCGACAUCGCGAGGUCAGGGGUUCAAACCCCGUUGAAGUCU